CUUAGUGGCAGACGGGAUAGUAACGCGUGGGAAUUUGCCCAAUAGUACGGAAUAACUGUGGGAAACUGCAGCUAAUACCGUAUACGCCCUCCGGGGGAAAGAUUUAUCGCUAUUGGAUAAGCCCGCGUCGAAUUAGCUUGUUGGUGAGGUAAUGGCUCACCAAGGCUACGAUAGGUAGGGGGCCUGAGAGGGUGACCCCCCACACUGGUACUGAGACACGGACCAGACUCC
rnacentral:rRNA from 1 species